CCUACGGGUGGCUGCAGUAGGGAAUAUUGGGCAAUGGCCGAGAGGCUGACCCAGCCAUGCCGCGUGCAGGACGAAGGCUUUCUGAGUCGUAAACUGCUUUUGAUAGGGAAGAAUAAGCCGCUCGUGAGCGGUGAUGACGGUACCUACAGAAUAAGCACCGGCUAACUCCGUGCCAGCAGCCGCGGUAAUACGGAGGGUGCGAGCGUUGUCCGGAUUUAUUGGGUUUAAAGGGUGCGUAGGCGGCCGCUUAAGUCCGGGGUGAAAGCCCGUUGCUC
rnacentral:rRNA from 1 species